rnacentral:lncRNA from 1 species
AAAUUAUUACACUUUCGACAGACAGUGGUGUACUUCUUAAAUAGAGCACCUUCAAAAGACGGUGUGUUGUGUGUGUGUUACAGAGUACAUUGUGUUGUGUUGUUUCCAGGGCGAUCCUGUGCGCGCGCUCCCAGUACUUCCGGGCCAUGCUGAGCGGCAGCUGGAUGGAGAGCUGCACCCAGGACAUCACUCUGCAGGGGUGGGUCUGAGCAGCCUUCACCCCCUCACGGGGUCGUCUCUUUAAUGUUUCCGUGACGACACACCGACCCUCCUCCUCCAUCGGCUCUGCCGGGCGCUGCGUUCCCGUGGUAACGUGGUCCUCUCCUCCUCCCUCCAGGCUGGGCCCGGAGGAGAUGGAGGUCCUGCUGCAGUUCAUGUACGGCGCCAUCGCCGACCUCCCGCCCGGAGCCAGCGCCAGGUACACCCCCCCCCCCCCCCUUCCGACCACGAGUGGGGUGAAGGGGUGUGGUCUAACGUCACUGUGCUGAUGAAGUUGUGUUGCCCCCCAGUCAGGUGAUGCUGGCGGCGGACAUGUUGGGCCUGGAGGGGCUGAAGGAGGUGGUGGAGAUGGUGCUGACCCGGGACUACUGCCGCUUCUUCCCCAAGGUGGUGGACGGGGUGCAGAAGAGCAUCGUGGAGUGUCUGUCCCUCACCAGCGCUCUGGGUCUCCUCAAGCUGCACGCCACCUGCAGGAGGUGAGAGAACCACAUCCUCUCUCCUCUCUCCUCCUCUCCUCUCUCUCCUAUCUCCUAUCCUCCCCUCUCCUCUCCUCCCUAUCUCCUCUCCUCUCCUCCCCUCUUCUCUCCUCCUCUCUCCUCCCUCUCUCCUAUCACCUAUCUCCUCCCCUCUCCUCUCUCCUCCCUAUCUCCUCUCCUCCCUCUCUCUCUCUUCCUCUCCUCCUCUCCUCCCUAUCUCCUCUCCCCCUCUCUCCUCCCUCUCUCCUCUCUCCCCCUCUCUCCUCUCCUCUCUCCUCCUCUCCUCCCUAUCUCCUCUCCUCCUCUCCUCCCUCUCUCCUCUCUCCCUCCACUCCCCUCUCUCCUCUCCUCCUCUCUCCUACCUCCUCCCCUCCCCUCCCCUCUCCUCCCUAUCUCCUCUCCUAUCUCCUCUCCUCUCUCCUCUCUCCUGCUUCCUCCCCUCUGUAUUCAGACUCAUCACUCCCACUGGUAUAAACCCUUCCCUGUAAUCAUCUGCCUGGGAGCUGCUUCUCUUUCAGAGUCACACAGCAGUUCUGUUCUCAAGCUGUCACCACAGACACUCAGAAAUCAAUGAUGAAUAUAAACAUGAAACAUUCUAUAACCGUGUUGAAUCAAUAACUUAGGCUUUUACAUAAAUAUUACAUAAUUAUACAGUCCAGCAGCAGAUAUCUCAAUAUGAAUUAUGUCAAGUCUCAUCAAUAUACAGCCUAUGGUUUAAGACAAAGAGCAGUUUGAGGUCCGGACUCAGAACCCGGUCUACCAGGGACUUCAGCGCUGCGCUGGCCCUUCUUCAUCCUCUAGACCUGGCCCUUCUUCAUCCUCUAGACCUGGCCCUUCUUCAUCCUCUAGACCUGGUCCAACCCCCGACCUGACACGAGGUCUGUCCCCAGGUCCAGAAGGACUGGGGUGAGGUCCGUCUGAGACCAGGUCCUCAGUAGUGAUGCUGUGAUGUUCUCCUCAGUAGUGAUGCUGUGAUGUUCUCCUCAGUAGUGAUGCUGUGAUGUUCUCCUCAGUAGUGAUGCUGUGAUCUUCUCCUCAGUAGUGAUGCUGUGAUCUUCUCCUCAGUAGUGAUGCUGUGAUCUUCUCCUCAGUAGUGAUGCUGUGAUCUUCUCCUCAGUAGUGAUGCUGUGAUCUUCUCCUCGGUAGUGAUGCUGUGAUCCUCUCCUCAGUAGUGAUGCUGUGAUCCUCUCCUCGGUAGUGAUGCUGUGAUCCUCUCCUCGGUAGUGAUGCUGUGAUCUUCUCCUCAGUAGUGAUGCUCUGAUGUUCUCCUCAGUAGUGAUGCUCUGAUCUUCUCCUCAGUAGUGAUGCUCUGAUCUUCUCCUCGGUAGUGAUGCUGUGAUCUUCUCCUCAGUAGUGAUGCUGUGAUCUUCUCCUCGGUAGUGAUGCUGUGAUCUUCUCCUCAGGUGGGUGGCGGAGCACUUCAUGAAGAGCUGGGCAGAGCGGAACUUCUCCCUGCUGUCGGUGGAGCUCCAGCGGGCGUGCCUCGGCGACGUAGCCGCCGCCAUGGUGGGCUCCCUCUCCCUCACCCCACAUUAAGGCUCUCCAGGAAGCAGAGGAACAUAUCAUCCAAUUAGAACCGUUGUUAUUAGAUUGUGAAUGACUAAUGAACACUUGUCAUUGAGAACAGAGCUUCUCUCUCUCGCUAGAGAGCCAGGGAGAGAGAGAGAGAGAGAGGGAGGUGGAGAGAGAGAGGGAGGGAGGGAGGAUGAACAAAAAUGUAAAAACAGAGUGCGCCCAUGAACGGCGAAUCAGCGCCACCUUGUCCCUCGAUAUCGUACAGCGAGGACCUUG